rnacentral:rRNA from 1 species
GACGAACGCUGGUGGCGUGCUUAACACAUGCAAGUCGAACGGAAAGGCCCUGCUUUUGUGGGGUGCUCGAGUGGCGAACGGGUGAGUAACACGUGAGUAACCUGCCCUUGACUUUGGGAUAACUUCAGGAAACUGGGGCUAAUACCGGAUAGGAGCUCCUGCUGCAUGGUGGGGGUUGGAAAGUUUCGGCGGUUGGGGAUGGACUCGCGGCUUAUCGGCUUGUUGGUGGGGUAGUGGCUUACCAAGGCUUUGACGGGUAGCCGGCCUGAGAGGGUGACCGGCCACAUUGGGACUGAGAUACGGCCCAGACUCCUACGGGAGGCAGCAGUGGGGAAUAUUGCACAAUGGGCGGAAGCCUGAUGCAGCAACGCCGCGUGCGGGAUGACGGCCUUCGGGUUGUAAACCGCUUUCGCCUGUGACGAAGCGUGAGUGACGGUAAUGGGUAAAGAAGCACCGGCUAACUACGUG